UGAGAGGUUACAGAAAGAACCUUUACUUAAAUGUGUUUGAGAAGGACAGAGUACUGGUAUGGAAAAUACACACUGAGUUCAAGUAUUUGAGUCUCUAACACAAUACAGCAGUACCUUUUGCAAAGGAAGCUUCAACAGGCCAUGCUGCCUGUGAGAUAAUAGUCCUGUUUUUCCUGGUAUAGUUAAUGCUUUGAUCCGUGUAAGCCAAGCCAAAGGCAGAGAGUUUGUCUGGGUGAAUCCAACACAGGCACCUUUCUGUUCCUGGUCAGGGCUGCUUUCUUUGUGACUGAAUGAGCAGCUUAACCUCCAUCCCUCACCUGAGACUGUUAGCUGUGCCUGUUUUGCUAACCACGUUGUUUUUAGGUGCUGCCAAGUGGGUAUAGGAUAGUGGGUGUUUUUUUUGACGAUCAUUCUGAUUUAGGGUUUAUGCUGAAGCUGAAAAAAUAUUAGUUAGAGAUAGUAUACAAUUCUCAUAAAGAAACUUCUAUCUCAAGUUGGAAGGGACCCAUAAGGAUCAUUGAGUUCAAAAGGUAUCCAGAUACAGUUUAUUUCCCGCAGUAAAAAAAAAUCAGAUUAUUCUUUUAGAGGCAAAGAGGAUCCUGCUUGAGAGUGCUGCCCACACAUAAGCUUGAAUUUAUGAAACUUUCCAGAUCACAAAAAAAGCUUAUUUAAAGGGAUUCUGUUUAGUCCAGUCUGCCACUCAGUGCAGGACUUUGCCUAUGCUGGAUGGGUCAGUGAGACUUUCUCUGGCUGAGUCCAAAAAACCUCCCUGCUGGAGACUGUAGCAUUUCUCCAGGACUAAUUUCAGUGUUGCUGCGUCCUUCCUUCUGAAUGUUUUCCUGGAGUCUAAGCUGAACUUCCCAUGCCCCAAUUUGUGGCCGUGCUGUUACCUGUUGCCAAAAAAAGUGGGUAAUCUCUGUUACCCUUGUAACUACUCUUGAAAUAAUGCUUGACUGUGCUUAAAACAUGCUUUCAUCUUAUUUUUGCAGCCUAAACAAGUCUGGUUCCCUCAGCCUUCCCCCUUAGAUCAGGUACUCUAGGCCCUUCAUUGUCUCUGUGGUCCUCCACUGCCUGGAUCCUGUUUUUUGACACACUGCUCUUGAACUUGAGGACUCCAAACCACCCAUGUUCCACAUGUCACCUUGCAGGCAUUGAGCAGAAGGAGGCAAUAAUCACACCAGCAUACUCUGCAUGGUAUUGGCCACCAGCCAGGUGUCAACCCAUUGAUUGUGACAGUUUGAGGUCAGUGAUUUAGUCAAUCUUUAUUCCGUCUAAGUCUUUUUGUGUGAGCCCACUUUGAACCAAGAAUGCUGCGGGAGGUGGUCUCACAAACCUCAUUGAAGUGAAGGUACACUACAUCCCUGUUCCUUCAUCAUUCCCAAUGCAUUCAUCACAGAAAGCCACCAAGCUGGUCAAGCAUGGAUUGCCCUCACUAAGUCUGUGCUGACUGUUCCUGUGUUUAUCUUUGUGUUGUCCACAUGGUUGGAAAUGGAUUCCAAGACUAGAUACUCCACCAUCUUCCCACUGGCUGAAGUGAUACCAACUAGCUUGUAGUUCCCUGGCUUCCCUCUCCUCCUUCUUAAAAGCAGGCAUAGUAGUAGCACAUUUCCCAUUGGCAGGAACCUCCUCCAACUGCUGUAACUUCUCAUAAAUUAAGGACAAUUCCAACACUGGCCAACUCUACCUUAAUUUCUUUGUGAAUCCCACUAGUCAAUGGAUUCACAAGCACAUACGUUGUUCCCUAUUUGUUGUUUCCUUUCCAAAACCUUACUGAUUUACACAGAGGUUUGGGAGCAAAUUUUGCUUGGGAAGACUGAGUGGUACCUCAGCCUUUUCCAUGCCACCCCUCACUAGAUUGUCUGCCCCAUCCACUGAUGGACUUACAUUUUCUCUGGAAUUUUCUUGUGAUUAGUAUAUUUGUAACUCUGCAUGUCCCUUCUCUUAGUUCCAGUUGAGCUCUAACCUUCCUGUCUUUGUUUCCAAGUGCCUGUGCAAAGCUCUUAUACUCCUCCUUUACUGCCUUUCCCAGUUUCAACUUCUUAAAUGUUCUCCUUUGUUGCAUGAAAGCUCUUUGUCUAGCCAGCAGGGAAAAGCUUUUUGUACAAAUUCCCAGUCUAACGCUAUGUGACAGAUUCCUUCUAUACAUCUAAAUCUAUUACUGAGCUCUCAUGAGCUUUUUCUAAAAAUUACCUUUUCCCACUUAUAGCAGUUUCCAAGGGAAUUACUACUGACUUAGCAAUUCCCUAAAUAAACAGAAUUUUGUUUUGAAGUCCAAAGUCUGGACAGCUCUGCUAUUUACCUUCCCAGUCUUCCUCUGCACCCUGAACUCUUGUGGGGACUACAACCCAAGUGGCCACAUUCAGACCCAUUCUUCUCUGUAGGCAGGUCAAGUUCAGCAUUACCACUCACUGGCCCUUUAGGAUUUGAAUUACACAUAAUUACUGACAGUUUCUAGGAACUUCAUGGAUUGCAUAACAGUUUUCACUCUGUCAGAUGAUGUCUGUGGAGCUGAAAACUGGUGAGAACCAGGGUCUGGGAAUAGGAGUAGUUUGUUUUCCAGUUGUUUAAAAUCUCCUUUGCUUCCAAGUAAAGAUACUGAACACUUCAAUAGACACAGACUUGGAAUUCUUGUUUCUUUGCUUAAAGUGUUCUGAAUUUGCUGGCAGCCUCAGAAUAGCCUCUCCUCUGAGAAGAAAGGUCAAAGUCUCGCCUGUUGCCUUCUCCCUUGCUUACCUCCUCAAUUUACAUCUACUGCUAAGUGACUGUUGUGGCACUUAUUUUCUGAGAAAUAGUAUAAGCCUUUCUAGUAAAACUGAUCUAAAGAAUGGGGCCUUUAUUCUGGUUUGAUAGUGUUAGAAAUGUAGCAGGAGGCUAGGCCAGGCUGGAUGGCUUUGAGCAUCUUGGUCCACUGGAAGGUGUCCCUGCCCCUAGCAGGGGAGUUGGAACUGGAUGAUCUUUAAUAUCCCUCACUCUACAAUACAAUUCUAUGAUAUGCUAAGCUGGCACCUGUCCAGGAAAGAGCAUUUCAUUUUAUCGACCUCAUGGUUAUCUUGUCACCAACUCUUCCAAUCGUAGCUGCCUUCUCCCUGGUACUGAAAGAGCAGCAUUAACUCAGUCCCCAUCAUUACUGAUGGUAUAAUCAUGCCUGGACAACUAACAUGAAUUCCUUUGGCAGUAAAACAGAAACCAUCUUUGUUCCACUGGUACUUACUAAGUCUGUCUUCACAGUGCAGAACUUAGCCCUGGCUGUGCUAAGUUAUAAACACACUAGCUGUGUUUAUUGCAGGAAUCCAGAAUUUAAUGCUGCUGUAGAAUCACCUUCACCAGAACAUCAGUGAAGCCAUUUUGAAAACGAGUAAUUAACUACAGUUUCAAGAUUAAAUUCCUGAAAGACCAUAAACCACCAGUAGAUUUGUUUAUCCUUAAAGAAAACCUCCAUUUCAUCCUUGUCUUGUGAAAGUGAUAAUCAAUCUUCCUUUUCUUCCAAGUGUCCUUUCUAAGAACAUUGCUUACAAUGUGCUUACAGCCAGAUCAGGAUUCAGUUGAAUUCUGAAUGCUCUCCAUAUCCUUAUCCUCAUGAAUUUUUGCCACAUUCAUAAAUGAGAAUAUACUGCACUUUCCACUGGCAAGUUUAAGUUUCAUUAUAUGUCAGUCCAAGGUACUACUGUGAGGUAGUUAUUACAGCAAAACACAAAAAAGCCUUCUGAAAGAAUUUCCCAAAGUAAGAACAAAGUAAUUUCACCAUCUGAGAGGCUGAUGCUGGAAGAAGUAAGACAUCAGAUUAGCAUAACAUUGUGACUCUGCCAGUUUCUAGGAAGUCUAAAAUAGCAUUUCUGCUGACAAAUGGAUUCUGAAAGUAAUUUUUACAACUGAAUUUAAAAUAUCCCUUCCCUCAUCAUCUACUUUCAUGAUUCUGUUUAGAGGUUCUUUAUUUAUCAUAUUUUAUCAUCAUAACAGGUCAUUUUCCUAGAUGCCUCAUUAUUUUGUCCAAUCGUGAAAGAAAAAAUUCUAUUCCUAUUAUUUUCUUAUUUUCAAAGUGUCAGAAAAAAUUCACUUCAUGUUAAAAUUUGUAGAUCUGCACUCCUGUAUUCAACAAUUCAGUUUUCAAAUACAGCAAUCUCCUCUAUACUUGUAACUCAGACACUAUAUUUGUUUUGAACAGUCUCCUAAAUGUAUCCAUGAAACAUCCUUAUUCUGUAUUGAGAUAUUUUUAUUACAAAUAGAUUACUCAAUCCUUCAGGUGAUCCACAGACCUGAGACCUGUCACUAAAUGUUGGCUACAGUGGUGACACUGUACAAUCAGUGAUGUGUCCUGAGUAUUCACUUCUUUACAACUGCUCAGUCUGGAGGAGCUCCUUUCCCUCAUAAAUCAAGAGACAGCAUUCAAUGUAUUUUGUGUGUAUAUUCUAGAUGUUAACUAAUGACAGACCACUGUUUAUGAAUUUUCCUAGAAAGGCAACACUGCUCCCUAAUCACAUUCUAAGUUCCUCAAGUCUUGAGUCCAUUUUGAUUAACAACGAUUUUCUUAUGUCAAAAAUCCUGGAGGUUUGCUGCAAAGUUGUUCUGCAGGACACAUCUUGGCAUAUGAGAACCCACCCUGCUGGAGGCCACUAUUUGUGACACCUGAUUUGUAAGUGACUCUCCCUACUGUGUGUAAGCAGCAGAGGUGGGACAGACAUGGCUAGGACUCUGCCAUGACAUCCACAGGAUAUAUAGGAUAUGUGCAGCAGGCAUUGUCUAUGGCCACUUACCAGGCUCCUCAUUCAUUACCUCCCCAGCCAUGACAGGAUCUCAAUACCUGUAUAUUUUCAUAGUAGACAAGCAGGUUGUAGUUUUAAAGAAAUACAAAGAAAAAUGUCCAGGUAGCACAGGGUGUUGUGCACACGAUGCAAAAGAGGCCUGAGGUUUCCUAGAAGUACGUACAGAUCGAUCGCAGCGGGGAGUCCCAACAAGCCCCAGCUUAGGGCACAGAAGGGCACUUGGUACACUCAGCCUGCACGUGGCACACUUGGCCUUCUCCUGCCAGGAAAAGAUAGGAACCUGGCCAAUGACACUGGGAGUGAAUUCUUUGUAUGAAUUAGCUAAAACAAAGGCAGUGUGACACGUAUUAUUUUAUAUGUUCACUAAGCAGAAGAAGAAUGUUAGGAAUCAGGAAUCCUAAUUUCUAUGCUUGUAGAAGUGUCUUGCCUACACUUCCACCAAGCAACUCAGAAAUAUAUUUAAUGUCCUCAAAUGCACUGACACCCUGCUUCUGCUUUUAGAAAGUAGUUCAAAUUGCUAAGGUAAUUUUCAAAAUUCCCCAAUGACUUUCAUCUUUUAGGUAUUAGCUAAUCUCAGCUAAAGAUAAUGAGUAAAGAUUUUUACAUUACUACAUCUAAAAAUGUGACUGUACACUGUUCUGGAUGCUAUUAUGUUAAAUAGCAUUAAUACAGCUAAGCCUUUAGGACAAGGCAUCAACGACAUCCUGGAUGCAGGUAAGAGAAGCGAUCUCCCUCUCUCAAAGGGAUUUGGUGAUUCCCUAGAUGACUUUUUCUGUGGUGGGGGCAACAGCAAGAGUUCUGUAAUCAUCUCUUUCACUUCUCCAAGCUACACAAUCUCCUUGGCAGCAGGAAAAGGACUCCCAGGGCAGUCCUCAAGUGACCUAACAACUCUUACCACUUCAGUGGGGACAAGAGGAAAGCAGCAGAGGUGGGACAGAAAAGAAAGAAGUUCAGACUGACUCUCUUCACUUCUCCCUUCCCAUUGGUCCAGAGGGGAUGCACAGGUGACAGCAUCUCAGCUCUGGGAAGCACGAGGUGACAAUCAGGUAGCAAAAGGCUACCUAUAUGGACACACAUGGCAUUACAGACAAGGGAGGCUCUAAUAAAACAGGCACCUAUGUUUUC